GAUCCAGUAGCUCAGCAGGUAGAGCACAUCCCUUUUAAGGAUGGGGUCUUGGGUUCGAAUCCCAACUGAGUCA
rnacentral:tRNA from 1 species